rnacentral:rRNA from 1 species
AGAUCUGGAGGAAUACCGGUGGCGAAGGCGGCCCCCUGGACAAAGACUGACGCUCAGGUGCGAAAGCGUGGGGAGCAAACAGGAUUAGAUACCCUGGUAGUCCACGCCGUAAACGAUGUCGACUUGGAGGUUGUGCCCUUGAGGCGUGGCUUCCGGAGCUAACGCGUUAAGUCGACCGCCUGGGGAGUACGGCCGCAAGGUUAAAACUCAAAUGAAUUGACGGGGGCCCGCACAAGCGGUGGAGCAUGUGGUUUAAUUCGAUGCAACGCGAAGAACCUUACCUACUCUUGACAUCCAGAGAACUUAGCAGAGAUGCUUUGGUGCCUUCGGGAACUCUGAGACAGGUGCUGCAUGGCUGUCGUCAGCUCGUGUUGUGAAAUGUUGGGUUAAGUCCCGCAACGAGCGCAACCCUUAUCUUUGUUGCCAGCGGUCCGGCCGGGAACUCAAAGGAGAUGCCAGUGAUA